CUUGUGGGCAGCAUGCGGUCACCAUCCUCCUCAGAUGGAGGUGGCGGGGGUGUGGUGUCUUAGUUUCUGCAAAAUGGCUCAAGGAUAUGUGUCAGAUUAUCUGUAUCCCUCCAGGAGGGACUAGGGAUCCUAUGACUCUACUGUCCUGUUACUCUUGAGUCUGCUCUUUGGAAACGGGGAACACCUCAGAGAUGAAAGCCUUUCUCCCACAGAUAAGUGCAGAGAAAAUGUGGUGGUGUUUUCACCACAUCCAUUCAACGCCUCCUCCCCUCUGGCGGCUCAGCAGUAAAGAAUCUGCCUGCUAAUGCAAGAGACACAAGAGAUGCGGGUUCGAUCCCUGGGUCGGGAAGAUCCCCUGGAGAACAAAAUGUCAACCCACUCCAGUAAUCUUGCCUGGGAGAUCCCGUGGACAGAGAGCCUGGCAGUCCACGGGGUGGCAAAGAGUUGGACACGACUGAGCGGCUAACACACAGCUCUGCUUUGGAAAUGCAACAUGUGGCUGUCUUCCCGCCGUGUGGUUUUCAAGGGCGGGUGGCUGUUUUCCUGCAGACCCUUGGCCCCGCCCUCCCGGGCCGUCCCACCUGGGGCCUCUCUCUGGGACAGCUGAAGCGUGGGGUUUGUGGGAGCCUCACCAGGGAUGCGAUCCUGCCUGGCAGCCGCUGACCUGCGCUUCCCCCAGCCCUGAGGGCAAGGGCCCAGGUUUCCAAGAACAUGCAGCAGCUGGGACCAGUCCUCUCUUCCGCGGUGCGUGCGUGCCCCUCAUUCUCCCUGGCUCCAAGCUUCCUCCUUCGUUCCUCUGUGGGGAGGGCACUGCAGUGGGUUUGCCUGUGUAUCACCGGCUGCUCGAGCUCUGCAUAAGGAGCCACGCGUCUGUCAGGAUAACGGCACAAUCGGAUCACCUGGAGAGCCGUAAAAACAGCGAUGCCUGGGCCGAACCCAGACAGAGGGGCUCGGAAUCGCAGAGGGUGGAGCCGGGCCUCGGAGAUUCCGACAGCUCCGCUGGUCUGGUUUGCAGGCAAGGUUGAGAUCUUCUUAGCUCCACGGCUGAAACUGGAGACCCAGCCUUUCUUCGGCAAAAACUAAUUUAGAAAGCUCAGUUCCAGUCUUGUGUCACAUUACAUCAGUUCACAUUCUGUAAGGAGGUGGAGCUGCCCGCCACCCUCUCGAGUUCAGUAUUUUAAAAAGAUUCCACGUACAAGUGAGAUUAUUCAGCAUUUGUCCUUCUUUGUGUGAUUUAUCUCAGCAUAAGGCCCUCAGAGGUUCAUCCCUGUUGUCACAAAUGACAGGAUUUCCUUUUUUUCUUUCUUUAUUUUGGCCAUACCACAUGGCUGGCAGGAUCUCCAACCAGGAAUUGAAGCCAGGCCCCAGGAGUGAAAGGGCUGAACCCUAAGCACUGGACUACCAGAGAAUUCCCACGGAUGCCCUUCUUUUUUAUGGCUAAACAAUAUUCCACGGCACAUCACAUCUAUAUGUGUGUGUGUGUGUAUUCCACAUUUUAAUCCACUCGUCUGCUGAUGAGCACAGGCUGUCUGCAUGUGUUAUGAAUCAUGUUGAGUGAGCAUGAGGGUGCAGAUAUCUUCUCAAGGUGAUGAUUUUGUUUCUGUUGGACAAAUACCCAGAAGUGGAAUUGCUGGGUCAUAGAGUGGCCCUAUUUUUAAUUUUUUGAGGAGCCUUCAUAAUGUCUUCCACGGCGGCUGCACCGAUUUCCAACCCUCACCGAUUGUGCGCACGUGUUCCCCUCUCUCCGCAUCCUCAGCAACACUUGUGAUUUCUUGUAGUUUCGUUCAUGGCCUUGUAACAAGUGUGAGGUGAUAUCUCACCAUGGAUUUGACUUUCAUUUCCCCACCGAUUAGUGAGGUUGAGCAUCUUUUCAUGUACUUGUUUGCCAUUUUUACAUCUUGUGUACAAACUAUCUUAAAACAAGUUCUUUAAUGAGAAGGAAAUGAUUGAAGGCCCAUUCCUCAUACUUUUUCUUACCAGAAUCACAUAUCCUACAUUUGCUG
ensembl:lncRNA